rnacentral:tRNA from 1 species
CAAGAGGUGUAAAUAAACCAUUAGGGCUGCUAACUCUAAUAACUAAGAAUAAUACCCUUAGACCUCUU